ensembl:lncRNA
CCCCGCGCAGGUUCGAAUCCUGCCGACAACGCAAGUUCGCUUUUGUUCUUAUGAUGAAAGCUGCACUUAAAGUGAGUAGUUAAAAUCCAAACCUCCGUGAUAAACACCAAAAACAGGUGGAAAUUUUCUUUUGCAUCAAUCAAUAAAAAUAACAAAAAAGCGUCAUCUUGCAUCUAACUUUUGACUCUGAUCGCUAAAUUACUGUUGAUUAUGGUCAAUGAGGGGUUAGAAUAAAUGGAAAGAACAGCUGUUGAAUAGAUUAAAUGUGAAGAAUAGAACAAUAAUCAAGCGAGUUGUGUGCCUGCAUACCUAAAACUCUGACAUCAUAUUUGACCUCCUUCUCCCCGGCGAUGCUUGUGGCCACGCAGAUGUACUGUCCCGAGUCGGACAAGGUGGCUGAGAGGAUUUCUAUUUUACCCCCGAGCUCCAGAACACGAACAAUUUCACCGUGAUGCACAGGAACGCCAUCCUUGAGCCAUGUGAGAGAGGGAGCAGGGUGUCCACCAGCUUCACACUCUAGGACGAGCGGCUUGCUGAGGACCACUUUCUUCUCAGUUGGUCUGUCAUCACCCCCUAUUAUGGUGAUAACAGGGGUGGGACUUCCUGUGACAUCACACACCAGACUUGUGGAUUGGCUCAACACCAGCGACACGUUACGCGACGCUUCAUUGUCCGUGAAAUCUGGAGGCACUGUAGAGGUUAUACAAGUCACAAGUGGGUUUAGAGAAAAACGUAUUUUAUUGCACCAGUAUGCAAAACCAGAAAUAAUCAUUUUGAUGGUUUUGUGAAGUGUCAGCACACAGACCCCAACUUACCGUUGACUUUGAGCUGGUACUUCCUCUCGGUAGAUCCGGCAUCAUUGGCAGCGGCGCACGUAUACUCUCCGCUGUCCAGCGGUGAGACGGAGGACAGGAGCAGCAGUGUUCCGUCCUCCAGGAUGGACACUCCAGGCUCACUCCCAGUCAGUUCCUGGCCGUUACGCAACCAUCGAAUCACUGGCUUAGGGAGACCUGAAGGAUCCAGGAGACAGUGUGAAGCCCCUCGGAUGAGGAGCAGCAUUUAGGUAAGCUGCCAUCUUACCUUUAGCAGGGCAGGGAAACGCAAUACGCUGGUUUGCAACUCUCUCUUGUAGAGGACUAUUGAAGGGAGGCUCCAGCACCUCAACCACAGGAGGCACUAAAGACAGACGCGAGCAAUGAGAAGUCAUCAAACACUGUGAGAGCAGAUACUAAUGUCGCAUCAGGACCACCGACCUUGCACGAGAAGCUGAAGUCCAGCUUCAUCUGUGCCUGCAGUGUUGGUGGCCGUACACGUGUAGGUCCCCUCAUCAUCCAGGCCCACGUCUCUCAAUACCAGACUGCCAUCAGCUGAUACCGGAUAGCUCUUUCCAUCCCUGGUCCAGGUCAGGGUGGGCUCUGGGACCCCCCUCGCCAUACAUGGAAGCUCCACAGGAUGACCCACUUGUACCUUCAUCACCCUGGGGCCCGGCUGAAUACGUGGGGGCACUGCAGGGCAGCAGAGAGCCAGAGUUACUACGGCUCAUUGCCUUAAGUGAUGCUGACUAUCAAACCUAAAACUCACCCAGAACACUCAGCAGGAUGUAUAGAGUGAGGUUUCCAGCAAUAUUAGAGGCGACACACACAUAAAGUCCGCUGUCCGACACUUUGGUCUCCAAGAUCUUCAUAGAGCCUGAUGGAAGCUGAUGAUGUCUGGGAAGAGCGCACAAACAAAAACAAGCCUGGAAUAAGUUUCAGCUGAGAUCUUUUCCUAGGAAUAAAAGCAAUUUCAACAAUUUUGUUGCCCAAACUACCCUGCUUCUGUUUUACCUGGGGGAGAAUGGGGAGAUAAGGUGCCUCUCCCUGGCCCAGCUGACGGUGGGCGGUGGGACGCUGUGGACCUCACAUGGCAGGACGGCAUCCUCCCCCUCAAUCGCUGACAUUCUGAUUGGCUCUGCAGAGCUUCCAGCACCUCCGGCGUUGGAUCUGGGACGCACUGCAGACACAGGCAGCAGACCAACGAGCGAGUCAGUGAAAGUGCUGAACCAAAGGCGUGGAUGGUGGGUGGAAUUUGGUGUGCAGCUGGUUGGUUUUUGCAGCUUCCAGUGUGACGCGGGUUUACCAUAAACGGUGAGCUGGACCCUCCUGGAGGCGUGGCCAGCGGCGUUGGUCGCCAUGCAGAUGAACUCGCCACUCUCAUGCCCAGAAGGAGAGUUGAUGUAGAGGCCGCCGUCAGAAUCCAGGGAGAGGUCUGGACCACCCAAAUACAGCAGCUCUCCAUCCUACAAAGUAUAUUACAACAGGGGUUUUUUAAGAGGUAAAACUUUAUUGACAAAAAAAGAGUUCAGAUUACACAUAAUGUGAUUUAUGUUUGCUG